rnacentral:lncRNA from 1 species
UACGAAGCAAGUCAUUGCAGAAUCCGGAAAUACAAGUCUGAGCAGUCUAAAGGUUUCGCCAUUCGAAUCAAAUCAAUGGCGGGACUUCGCAACAUAAAUAGAGACGCAACAAAGCAAUUGGGAACGAUCAAGGUCACCGAACCGACCGUCAUCUCCGAACUAACAAUUGUUCUUUGUCUGAGAAGUUGAGACAGGUUUUAAUCCAAGACAACCGUGCAAGAAGCAGGUGUCGCCCAAAGAAGAAGGUACACGGGUACAAGAAACAUUUUGGCAAUAAGGAAUUCACUCAAAAGGUAAGUUCCCGCAAAACUCCCUUUCAUCUUCUAUUAAAACAAGAAAACUUAAAAAUAGAUCGUGUAGUAUUCUCGAGCUUUAUCCCCAGCCAAUCAGCAUUAGGGUUUUAAACCCUAAACUGAAUUUUCCUUUUAGUCAGCAUUAGGGUUUUAAACCCUAAACUGAACUUUUUCCUUUCAGCCAGCAUUAGAGUUUUAAACUCCAAACUGAGCUUUUCCAUGCCAUCAGCAUUAGGGUUUUAAAACCCUAAACUGAAUUUUUCUUUUAGUCAGCAUUAGGGUUUUAAACUCUAAACUGAACUUUUUCCUUUCAGCCAGCAUUAGAGUUUUAAACUCUAAACUGAGCUUUUUCAUGCCAUCAGCAUUAGGGUUUUAAACCCUAAACUGAAUUUUCCUUUUAGUCAGCAUUAGGGUUUUAAACCCUAAACUGAACUUUUCCUUUUAGCCAGCAUUAGAGUUUUAAACCCUAAACUGAGCUUUUCCAUGCAAUCAGCAUUAGGGUUUUAAAACCCUAAACUGAAUUUUCCUUUUAGUCAGCAUUAGGGUUUUAAACCCUAAACUGAACUUUUCCUUUCAGCCAGCAUUAGAGUUUUAAACUCUAAACUGAGCUUUUCCAUGCAAUCAGCAUUAGGGUUUUAAACCCUAAACUGAAUUUUCCUUUUAGUCAGCAUUAGGGUUUUAAACCCCAAAACUGAACUUUUCCUUUCAGCCAGCAUUAGAGUUUUAAACUCUAAACUGAGCUUUUCCAUGCAAUCAGUAUUAGGGUUUUAAACCCUAAACUGAAUUUUCCUUUUAGUCAACAUUAGGGUUUUAAACCCUAAACUGAACUUUUCCUUUCAGUCAGCAUUAGAGUUUUAAACUCUAAACU